rnacentral:rRNA from 1 species
UACGUAGGUGGCAAGCGUUGUCCGGAUUUACUGGGCGUAAAGGGCGUGCAGGCGGUCUGUUAAGUGCAGGGUGAAAGCUCCCGGCUCAACUGGGAGAGGUCCUUGCAUACUGGCGGACUUGAGGGGGGUAGAGGAAAGUGGAAUUCCCGGUGUAGUGGUGAUAUGCGUAGAUAUCGGGAGGAACACCUGUGGCGAAGGCGGCUUUCUGGGCCGUACCUGACGCUGAGACGCGAAAGCGUGGGGAGCAAACAGG